AACCUGGUGGCGUAGUGGUUAAGCGCUAUGGCUGCUAACCAGAAGGUCAGUGGUUCAAAUCCACCAGGUGC
rnacentral:tRNA from 1 species